UAAAACGGGGGGAAAUCCCCCCAGAAACGCUUCUCACUUGGCGUUUUGAUGCUUUUCCUGGGCGGAAUUUGGGGUUUUCUCUCUCCCUCUCACAGCGCAAUCCAGGCUCCCCCCCGCAGGAUUAAGCCCCCCCCCAGGGGAGAAGAAGGGUCCCCGCUGCCUCGACAGGGAUUUGGGGGAAGAAGUGAUGAAAUUGGAGCUUCUGCAGACGGCUGCCAAGGGGCAAAGGAGGUUUGGGAGGCAGAGUUCUCCCCAUAAUAAUUCCGUGUCCCUCCCCAUAAUAAAACUUCGCCCCCGAAAUCUUUCCCCCUAAAAAUAUUUCGCCCCCCCAUUUUUCCACCAAACCCUCUGCCUUCCUCCCACCACCAUCCCAGUUCCCCCAGUCCCCAUCCCACUGGGAAUCGGCCCUCCCGGACUGACAGCACCCUAGUGGGGCUGUCCAGAUCCCAUUAACUGGCCCCCCCCCCAUUUUCUCCCCCCAAAAUAAUCCGCUCCUCCCAGCGAACACCCCCGAGGGCCACGUCCUGCAACCUCCGACCCCUUUCCACCCCGUUACCUGCAGGCUCUGCCCUUCACCGGGGGGAAACUUCCCCGCCCACACACCGCCACCCCAGUGCUUUUUAGGGUGUUUUUGGGGUGCGCGGACCCCCCCGACAACGGGGCACAAUGGAGGCGAUGCCGGGCAUGGCUUUGCUCCGGAAGCCCAAGCCGGUAUCCGGCAGAAAGGAGACGCCAAGAAAAAGCUCAGCUCUUACCCAGAGCCCUCUAGAGGGAGAAGAGGCAAGACGUGGUGGCAGGAGGCGUCGCUCACAGGGAAGGAAACCUCCCCCCUCUUCGCCUCAUGACCUUCUCGGCGGCGGCCCUCAGCUCCGUGGUGCCGAUGAAGGACCCGCGGCGCUGCUUCCUCCAACGAUCUGCCUCGCUCACCAGCCCCUCGCUGAAGUUGUCCAUGAAGGAUUUCAUCAACUUCUUCGCCCUGACCGACAUGCGCCCGGCUACCGGCGGCACGAGGCCGGCCGGCCCGGAGAGGCACCUCCAGCUGGAUUUCUUCUUCAACUGGGAAUUGAGUCCUUUUGGGACUGGUUUCCGGCUCCCCGGCCUUCUCUGCUUAACGGGAGGCUUCGUCUGCUGGGCUUUCUGCUUCCUCCUCCUCCUCCUCCUCCUCUUUCUUGGGGGCUGCCCUCGUUGCUUGGUGGCUGUGGCCAUGGGGUGUCCUUCGGCCUCGGUGGUCCCGGCUGCGGGGGGUUCCCGGAGCUUUUUUAGGAGUGGGUACAGGCAAAUGAGGGCUCGACACCUUAGCCCGGGGUUGGCUGGGCGAGACAGGGCUUCUGUGACAUUAUGCAUAAUUUGCAUAAAGAUCUGAGCCAGAAAAAAAAAAGGAAUUGGGGCAAAGAAAAUACAGAAAUACAUAAAAACACACAGAUAUAUGUAAAAUACAUAUAGUACAUAUGCAUUUACAUGGCUUAAUCCCAAGAAAAGCCCCCAAAACCUCUGCUCCAGACCCAUUUGCUUGAUUUGAAGGUUAAUUCUCGAGGAUGAGGAGAGGGAGGAAGGCUCCCAGCGGUGUCAGGAUGGCCGAGUGGUCUAAGGCGCCAGACUCAAGGCUCUGCUUUCCCUCCCUGGGGUUUUCUGGUCUCCAAAUGGAGGCGUGGGUUCAAAUCCCACUUCUGACACACCUUUUCCUUUGCCAUCUCAACCCUUUUCGACCCCUCCCGCACGCGGAUUAGGGAAAAACGCUGAUUUUCCCC
rnacentral:tRNA from 1 species